UACGGGGGGGGCAAGCGUUGUUCGGAAUUACUGGGCGUAAAGGGCGCGUAGGCUGCUCGCUAAGUCGGGUGUGAAAACUCUGGGCUCAACCCAGAGCCUGCAUUCGAAACUGACGAGCUAGAGUUCUGGAGGGGAAAGCGGAAUUCCUGGUGUAGCGGUGAAAUGCGUAGAUAUCUGGAGGGACACCGGUGGCGAAGGCGGCAUCCUGGACCGAGAUUGACGCUGAUGCGCGAAAGCCAGGGGAGCAAACGGG
rnacentral:rRNA from 1 species